rnacentral:rRNA from 1 species
AUCUGGUUCAGGAUGAACGCUAGCGACAGGCUUAACACAUGCAAGUCGAGGGGCAGCAUAAAAGUAGCAAUACUUGGUGGCGACCGGCGCACGGGUGAGUAACGCGUAUGCAACCUACCUAUCAGAGGGGAAUAACCCGGCGAAAGUCGGACUAAUACCGCAUAAAACAGGGGCACCGCAUGGUGAUAUUUGUUAAAGAAAUUCGCUGAUAGAUGGGCAUGCGUUCCAUUAGGUAGUUGGUGAGGUAACGGCUCACCAAGCCGACGAUGGAUAGGGGAACUGAGAGGUUGGUCCCCCACACUGGUACUGAGACACGGACCAGACUCCUACGGGAGGCAGCAGUGAGGAAUAUUGGUCAAUGGGCGGGAGCCUGAACCAGCCAAGUCGCGUGAAGGAAGAAGGAUCUAUGGUUCGUAAACUUCUUUUGCAGGGGAAUAAAGUGCAGGACGUGCCCUGUUUUGUAUGUACCCUGAGAAUAAGGAUCGGCUAACUCCGUGCCAGCAGCCGC